UGAAGAGUUUGAUCAUGGCUCAGAUUGAACGCUGGCGGCAGGCCUAACACAUGCAAGUCGAACGGUAACAGGAAGCAGCUUGCUGCUUUGCUGACGAGUGGCGGACGGGUGAGUAAUGUCUGGGAAACUGCCUGAUGGAGGGGGAUAACUACUGGAAACGGUGGCUAAUACCGCAUAACGUCGCAAGACCAAAGAGGGGGACCUUCGGGCCUCUUGCCAUCAGAUGUGCCCAGAUGGGAUUAGCUUGUUGGUGAGGUAACGGCUCACCAAGGCGACGAUCCCUAGCUGGUCUGAGAGGAUGACCAGCCACACUGGAACUGAGACACGGUCCAGACUCCUACGGGAGGCAGCAGUGGGGAAUAUUGCACAAUGGGCGCAAGCCUGAUGCAGCCAUGCCGCGUGUAUGAAGAAGGCCUUCGGGUUGUAAAGUACUUUCAGCGGGGAGGAAGGUGUUGUGGUUAAUAACC
rnacentral:rRNA from 4 species